rfam:Chryseobacterium takakiae strain DSM 26898 genome assembly, contig: Ga0131160_111
AAACUAUGGAGCCAGAAACCAUUCAAACGGGGCGUAUCCGAAAGGCCAUAAGAGUAGGGAAACA